rnacentral:rRNA from 1 species
UACGUAGGGCGCAAGCGUUGUCCGGAAUUAUUGGGCGUAAAGAGCUCGUAGGCGGUCUGUUACGUCCGCUGUGAAAACCCAGGGCUUAACCCUGGGCUUGCAGUGGAUACGGGUAGACUAGAGGCAGGUAGGGGAGAAUGGAAUUCCCGGUGUAGCGGUGAAAUGCGCAGAUAUCGGGAGGAACACCGGUGGCGAAGGCAGCACUCUGGGACGUGACUGACGCUGAGACGCGAAAGCGUGGGGAGCGAACAGG